rnacentral:rRNA from 1 species
AGCGAACGCUGGCGGCAGGCCUAACACAUGCAAGUCGAACGAAGUCUUCGGACUUAGUGGCGGACGGGUGAGUAACACGUGGGAACGUGCCUUUAGGUUCGGAAUAACUCAGGGAAACUUGUGCUAAUACCGAAUGUGCCCUUCGGGGGAAAGAUUUAUCGCCUUUAGAGCGGCCCGCGUCUGAUUAGCUAGUUGGUGAGGUAAAGGCUCACCAAGGCUACGAUCAGUAGCUGGUCAGAGAGGAUGACCAGCCACAUUGGGACUGAGACACGGCCCAAACUCCUACGGGAGGCAGCAGUGGGGAAUCUUGUGCAAUGGGCGAAAGCCUGACGCAGCCAUGCCGCGUGGAUGAUGAAGGUCUUAGGAUUGUAAAAUCCUUUCACCGGUGAAGAUAAUGACUGUAGCCGGAGAAGAAGCCCCGGCUAACUUCGUGCCAGCAGCCGCCGUAAUAC